GAUCCUACGGGAGGCAGCAGUGGGGAAUAUUGCACAAUGGGGGGAACCCUGAUGAAGCGACGCCGCGUGAGUGAAGAAGUAUUUCGGUAUGUAAAGCUCUAUCAGCAGGGAAGAUAAUGACGGUACCUGACUAAGAAGCCCCGGCUAACUACGUGCCAGCAGCCGCGGUAAUACGGAAGGCCCGAGCGUUAUCCGGAUUCAUUGGGCUUAAAGGGAGCGUAGGCGGGCGUUCAAGUCAGCUGUAAAAUCGCGCGGCUCAACCGCGCCCCGCAGUUGAAACUGAACGCCUUGAGUUCACAACAGGC
rnacentral:rRNA from 1 species